CUCUUACUGAAGUGCCACAAUUUGAAUUGCAUGUUCAUGGAAGGGCAAUUAAAAUAUCAGAACUUAAUACAUACUGUGGUUAAGGAGAUCACUUAUGAGAGGUUGCAAGAGGAGAACAAAAUUGCGUAGAAGUGUACAAGGCUGGGCAUGAAAUGAGAGUAACAACAAUGGAUUCUAGCCUCUGGGUGUUGUAAGGUGUGUUGACUAAUAUAUAG